AUUGAACGCUGGCGGCAGGCCUAACACAUGCAAGUCGAGCGGCAGCGACAACAUUGACCCUUCGGGCGAUUUGUUGGGCGGCGAGCGGCGGACGGGUGAGUAAUGCCUGGGAAUAUGCCCUGAUGUGGGGGAUAACCAUUGGAAACGAUGGCUAAUACCGCAUAAUCUCUUCGGAGCAAAGAGGGGGACCUUCGGGCCUCUCGCGUCAGGAUUAGCCCAGGUGAGAUUAGCUUGUUGGUGAGGUAAGAGCUCACCAAGGCAACGAUCUCUAGCUGGUCUGAGAGGAUGAUCAGCCACACUGGAACUGAGACACGGUCCAGACUCCUACGGGAGGCAGCAGUGGGGAAUAUUGCACAAUGGGGGAAACCCUGAUGCAGCCAUGCCGCGUGUAUGAAGAAGGCCUCGGUUGUAAGUACUUCUAGUUGUGAGGAAGGACGUUGUCGUUAAUUAGACGGCGAGUGUUUGUACGUUAGUCAACAGAA
rnacentral:rRNA from 1 species